GUACUCACUUUGGCAGCACAUAAACUCAUUUGGAUCGAUAGAGAGAAGAUGAGCAAGGCCCAAGUAAGGAUGACACGCAAAUUUAUGAAGUAAUCUAUAUAUAG